GGCGUGGGGCCCCUGACGGGCCCGCGGAGCGGGGAAGGGGCGAGGAGGGCGGGGCCCGGGAGCCUCCCGUCGCCCAUCCCGCACAAAGAAGGCGCAGGUGGCAGAGGCGGCGCGAGGACCCAGGGCCCUGCACACGGGCACGCGUGAUCUGAGGCCGUUUGUCCGAAGAAGACUUGGGGGUCCUAGCAGACUGCAAGCUCAGCAGCGGGAGUUCACUUCCUAGAAAAAGCCGGGUUUGCUGGUUCCAGCCCCUGUAAGAGUCCUCCUUGGGCUUAAGGGGACACAGUGAGAGGAGCAGGGACAGUCCACAGCAUUGACUCAGGUCCCUGCUGUGCGCUGGAGACUGUGCCAUACGUCGAAGGCAGCGCUACAGAAAAAGAAAGCCCUUGUCCUCAAGGAGCUUGCACUCCAACGGGGAAGAUACCUGAAGGGACAUCAUGGCAAGAACCAGAGAGGAAAGGGGCCCUUCGCUCAGAACGAACCCUAAAGGAAGAGGGAGGGGGGCAGGGCUGCAGGCAGCAAGAGGUCAUGCAUUGAGAACGCGACAAGCCCAUCUGGGGAAAGAAAUGAGAGGCAACAGUAGCUCAGUUGCUAGCUCUGCUUUGGAUGUUUGGACGGGGCUGGUUCCUUCUCUGGGCUCGUUUAUAAAACGGGAGAGCGGCCCUGGGUGAUUUAGGAUUUCCUCCGUCUAAGCCUAUGCCCCCGAUAAGUUACUGCCAAGAUCUGGGAACCUGGACGUGAGUGCUGAUUGGGGGGAGUCUGAGGAACUGGCCUGAGAGGGGCCUAGAGAUUUUAAGGUUAUCCCUUUAUCUGAAUGCCAGCUGCACCUGGAAGGUUAUUCUCAGAAAGUGUUAAUGCUGCUCCCAGGGUUCCCCCUCAUGAGGCAGGUGUCAUCUGGAGGCCUCUCAGGUGCUCAAACCAUUACUGAGAUUAGCAGGCUCUUCUAAAAAAGACUGCUUUUUAAAAGGUAGUGUCUUGUUUCUGCUCUGCUUCACAUUGGUUUCUCUCCCCUUCCCAUAAGUUUUUUUUCCAUUAGAAAAAGGGGUGGCAAUUCAACGAAAGACAUUUUUGCCAUUUUUCUUGAAUUGCUUUCCUCCCUAUCCAGGGAUAUUCUUGGCCAUUAAUGUGACAAGCGUGUAUCUCUUGUUAAUGUUUUGGCAGUUUUUAUAUUGAUAUCUUUUAGUUUGACAUCUUCCUAUCUUUCCCCUCCCUUCUAACAAAAAAUUUAAAGGAAAACAGAAAAGCAAUUCAGCACAGCUGCCCCACAUCUCAGCAAUGUCAUGUUCCCAAAUUGGAGAGUAGAAAGCAAGACAGAGGUCAUCUGGUCAUCCUUUUAUAGAAAUCUAAAACCUGACCCCAGUGUUUCCUCAGAGAUCUCUAAAGAGAGCCCGGUUUUCUCUGGAACACCAAGGCCUGAGUGAGGCUCCUUCCUUCCAUGGCGCCUCUGUAGUAAAAGAUCCUUCUCCAUCUCAUGGUUUAUCCAGUACUUGAAGCCAUCGUGUUUCUCCAGGUUGAAUGUGUCCCAUUCCUUCCACUUGUCCUUGUGUGCCAGAGCUCACCCAUUCCUAAUUGUCUUCUCUACUUUAUCGGUGUCCUCAAGUAUGUGGUGCCCAGAACUGGACUGGGGCUGCAAAUGAGAUCUGAGCAGGACAGGAGGAUUUACUGAUGCUCCUCUCCUUGGGGGCUCCAACCCUCUUCUUGCCGCCCAAGAUUGAUCCUCCUCACUAUUAACUCGUUGAGCUUGCAGUCCCCUUCAGCCCCCAGAUUGUUUUCAGAACUGCUAUCUAAAUGCACUGGUCAUGUUCAGAUCUUAUUUGAAAUUAAUUUUCACCCCUAGAUACAAGACUUGACAUUCAUCCUUAUUGAAUUUUCUUAUUAGAUUUAAGCUAAUGCUGUGGCUUGUUAUCCAGGGUUAGCUUUCUUCCAACUUGGUCCUCUGCAAGUUUGAGGGGGCCAUCUAGGCCUCCAUCCGAGUAAAAUGUGGACCUGUAGCUUAGUACAGGUUCUGGAGCGCUGAACCAUUAGCACGUUAUCUACUCUGAAAGGAGAGUCUGAGGUAUUUUAUGGAAAUGUAGAUAAAACAUCCUCUUCAUCUCCAAAUUCUAGCACUCAAUUCCUUUUUUUUGUAU